rnacentral:rRNA from 1 species
UUAAGCGACUAAGCGUACACGGUGGAUGCCCUGGCAGUCAGAGGCGAUGAAGGACGUGCUAAUCUGCGAAAAGCGUCGGUAAGGUGAUAUGAACCGUUAUAACCGGCGAUGUCCGAAUGGGGAAACCCAGUGCAAUUCGUUGCACUAUCGUUAACUGAAUACAUAGGUUAACGAGGCGAACCGGGGGAACUGAAACAUCUAAGUACCCCGAGGAAAAGAAAUCAACCGAGAUUCCCCCAGUAGCGGCGAGCGAACGGGGAGCAGCCCAGAGUCUGAAUCAGCUUGUGUGUUAGUGGAACGGUCUGGAAAGUCCGACGGUACAGGGUGAUAGUCCCGUACACCAAAAUGCACAGGCUGUGAACUCGAAGAGUAGGGCGGGACACGUGGUAUCCUGUCUGAAUAUGGGGGGACCAUCCUCCAAGGCUAAAUACUCCUGACUGACCGAUAGUGAACCAGUACCGUGAGGGAAAGGCGAAAAGAACCCCGGCGAGGGGAGUGAAAAAGAACCUGAAACCGUGUACGUACAAGCAGUGGGAGCACCCUUUAGGGGUGUGACUGCGUACCUUUUGUAUAAUGGGUCAGCGACUUAUAUUCUGUAGCAAGGUUAACCGUAUAGGGGAGCCGCAGGGAAACCGAGUCUUAACUGGGCGUUAAGUUGCAGGGUAUAGACCCGAAACCCGGUGAUCUAGCCAUGGGCAGGUUGAAGGUUGGGUAACACUAACUGGAGGACCGAACCGACUAAUGUUGAAAAAUUAGCGGAUGACUUGUGGCUGGGGGUGAAAGGCCAAUCAAACCGGGAGAUAGCUGGUUCUCCCCGAAAGCUAUUUAGGUAGCGCCUCGUGAACUCAUCUUCGGGGGUAGAGCACUGUUUCGGCUAGGGGGUCAUCCCGACUUACCAACCCGAUGCAAACUACGAAUACCGAAGAAUGUUAUCACGGGAGACACACGGCGGGUGCUAACGUCCGUCGUGAAGAGGGAAACAACCCAGACCGCCAGCUAAGGUCCCAAAGUCACAGUUAAGUGGGAAACGAUGUGGGAAGGCACAGACAGCCAGGAUGUUGGCUUAGAAGCAGCCAUCAUUUAAAGAAAGCGUAAUAGCUCACUGGUCGAGUCGGCCUGCGCGGAAGAUGUAACGGGGCUAAACUGUGCACCGAAGCUGCGGCAGCGACACUAUGUGUUGUUGGGUAGGGGAGCGUUCUGUAAGCCUGCGAAGGUGGCCUGUGAGGGUUGCUGGAGGUAUCAGAAGUGCGAAUGCUGACAUAAGUAACGAUAAUGCGGGUGAAAAGCCCGCACGCCGGAAGACCAAGGGUUCCUGUCCAACGUUAAUCGGGGCAGGGUGAGUCGACCCCUAAGGCGAGGCCGAAAGGCGUAGUCGAUGGGAAACAGGUUAAUAUUCCUGUACUUGGUGUUACUGCGAAGGGGGGACGGAGAAGGCUAUGUUAGCCGGGCGACGGUUGUCCCGGUUUAAGCAUGUAGGCGGAGGUUCCAGGUAAAUCCGGUACCUUUUAACGCUGAGGUGUGAUGACGAGGCACUACGGUGCUGAAGUAACAAAUGCCCUGCUUCCAGGAAAAGCCUCUAAGCAUCAGGUAACAUUGAAUCGUACCCCAAACCGACACAGGUGGUCAGGUAGAGAAUACCAAGGCGCUUGAGAGAACUCGGGUGAAGGAACUAGGCAAAAUGGUGCCGUAACUUCGGGAGAAGGCACGCUGAUAUGUAGGUGAAGCCCCUGCGGGUGGAGCUGAAAUCAGUCGAAGAUACCAGCUGGCUGCAACUGUUUAUUAAAAACACAGCACUGUGCAAACACGAAAGUGGACGUAUACGGUGUGACGCCUGCCCGGUGCCGGAAGGUUAAUUGAUGGGGUUAUCCGUAAGGAGAAGCUCUUGAUCGAAGCCCCGGUAAACGGCGGCCGUAACUAUAACGGUCCUAAGGUAGCGAAAUUCCUUGUCGGGU